GAUGAACGCUGGCGGCGUGCCUAAUACAUGCAAGUCGAGCGAACGGACGAGAAGCAUGCUUCUCUGAUGUUAGCGGCGGACGGGUGAGUAACACGUGGAUAACCUACCUAUAAGACUGGGAUAACUUCGGGAAACCGGAGCUAAUACCGGAUGAUAUUUUGAACCGCAUGGUUCAAAAGUGAAAGACGGUCUUGCUGUCACUUAUAGAUGGAUCCGCGCUGCAUUAGCUAGUUGGUAAGGUAACGGCUUACCAAGGCAACGAUGCAUAGCCGACCUGAGAGGGUGAUCGGCCACACUGGAACUGAGACACGGUCCAGACUCCUACGGGAGGCAGCAGUAGGGAAUCUUCCGCAAAGGGCGAAAGCCUGACGGAGCAACGCCGCGUGAGUGAUGAAGGUCUUCGGAUCGUAAAACUCUGUUAUUAGGGAAGAACAUAUGUGUAAGUAACUGUGCACAUCUUGACGGUACCUAAUCAGAAAGCCACGGCUAACUACGUG
rnacentral:rRNA from 1 species